AAAUUGAAGAGUUUGAUCAUGGCUCAGAUUGAACGCUGGCGGCAGGCCUAACACAUGCAAGUCGAGCGGUAGCACAGAGAGCUUGCUCUCGGGUGACGAGCGGCGGACGGGUGAGUAAUGUCUGGGAAACUGCCUGAUGGAGGGGGAUAACUACUGGAAACGGUAGCUAAUACCGCAUAACGUCGCAAGACCAAAGUGGGGGACCUUCGGGCCUCAUGCCAUCAGAUGUGCCCAGAUGGGAUUAGCUAGUAGGUGGGGUAAUGGCUCACCUAGGCGACGAUCCCUAGCUGGUCUGAGAGGAUGACCAGCCACACUGGAACUGAGACACGGUCCAGACUCCUACGGGAGGCAGCAGUGGGGAAUAUUGCACAAUGGGCGCAAGCCUGAUGCAGCCAUGCCGCGUGUAUGAAGAAGGCCUUCGGGUUGUAAAGUACUUUCAGCGAGGAGGAAGGCGUUAAGGUUAAUAACCUUGGCGAUUGACGUUACUCGCAGAAGAAGCACCGGCUAACUCCGUGCCAGCAGCCGCGGUAAUACGGAGGGUGCAAGCGUUA
rnacentral:rRNA from 1 species